UGCUCAUGGAAGGCGAAGCAGCCAUAUA
rnacentral:sRNA from 1 species